GGACACAGGAUUGAAGGCAAGCAGACUCUUGUGGAAAUAUUGGCUCUGCUUCUGUGAGAUCCUAGGCAGGAGGCUCCAUCUCUCCCUGUGCCUAAAUUCCCUCAUUUGCAAAGUGAAAGUCAUAGCAUCUGCUGCAGUGACUUCAGACACUAACUCCCUAGUUAGACCAAACUUCAUAGGUUAAGACUGCCCUCACUUCAGACACCAGCCAUGGUUUGGGGGUUCCCAGGGCCACUCUCCCUUCUGACCACCUGGCUGCAAAUUCAGAGGUUCCCACUCUCCCCUCAGGUUUGAGGCUUUCAGCCUCUUGACAUCAUUGCAGAGAGGAGAGGGGACCAGAAGUAGGGCUCCGUCAUCUGUGAUUCAGUCCGUCAUAGUUUGAUCCAUCGAUGCAGCCUGUGUCCUGACAUCCAGACUUGUGCGAGCUUCCCUGGUUGACACCACAUCAUGUGCAUUGUUCCACGGCAGUGUGCCGGGAGGGUGGUGUGUCCUGAUUCCUCGGGGAGGGGUAGUCAAAGCUUCACAUCUGGGACCCUCCCAGACCUCACCCUGGGUGUCUCUUCCUUUGGCUGGUUCUCAUUUGUAUUCCUUUCACUACAGUACAACAGUGGACGUCAGGGCAGUGCUUUCCUGGGUCCUGAGAGUCGUUCUGGCAAAGUAUCAAACCUGAGGGAGGGGUGUAUGUGUGUAUGUAUGCACGCGCAUGCUUUGCUAGUGAAGGUUAUGAAGAUGUUUUUCUGUACAGUCUGCUCGGAGUUAUCUUGUUUUAUUUUUCACAGAGAUAUCCAUGGUACUGGAAUAGAUUUUUGUGAAUAAUGUAUGAGCCAAGUUGCAUGUCUGUGGUUGGCAGGGAGGGGGCGGGGCUUUCUUUUGUCUUAGUUUGUCCUUGUACCUUUUUCAUACUGUUUAAAUGAUUAUAAUUUUGUAGUACUUCUUAAGUAAGUUUUCCCAUUUUGUUCUUCUUUCUCAAGUGUCUUGACUAUUUUUGGCUUUUUGCAUUUCCGUGUAAAUUUUAGCCUUAUUUGUCAAGUUUGAUAUUUUUGAACAAUUGGAGUUUUGAUUGAGAAUGACUUGGAUCUGUAGAUCAGUUAACAUUAUUGUAAUAUUGAAUCGUCCAGUCCUUGAAAGUAUCAUUAUUAGGUACCACUGUGCAGAAUGACCAAUACCUACUGUUCUAGGUACCAGUGCUUGGUUCAUAAGAGGCAAUCGAUAAUAUUUGUAGUUUGAAUGAAUGGUCAUAGGAAAGAUGCAUGUGGGCAUCUGUGCUGUUUUUGAAAGGCUUAGUGUACAGUUUCUGCAAGUUUAUUUUCUUACAGCUUUGUCAAAUGGCCAUCUUUAUGUCUCCAGGUGGACUGGUUCAAUGGUUACAAAAUGUCCCUUGCUACCUACAUGAGGUCAUUGGCAGGAGACCACGGUUUGGACAUCACACAGGAUGUGAAACCUCCAAAAAGCCUAUAUAUAGAAAACUGGACAGUUUGAACUGCUAGAAUGCCUCAGGAAAGAAUGCUAAGCCUAACUACACAGAGAAGACGCAAACAGAGCCUAACGCUUACCUGUAGGUGCAUGUACAGUGCCCAGCUACUGGAUGGUUACUUCAUAAUAAAAAAUAAUAAACAUGGAACCAUCACGAAGAUAAGGAAACCUUGGCUGAGACCGACAAGUACGUGAUCCUCUCUUUUCUAUUAUUAUUUCUACGCUUCUGAAUCAUCUAGAGAGAUUCCUGAGAAGGGAAAGAAUAGGACAUCUAUUCUCAUGGAAGAAUAAAACAUUACCCUCUGGAGACAACCAGGCUGGACAGGGGGCAGAGUGACCACGUCUCUCCAAAUAUCUCAGAUUAUCAGUUUUCCAGGUAUGUUCGAGGGCUCCAUGGUAUCUCCCAAACACAGUAACCAGGGCACAAGGACUGGAUACUGAGUUCAGUCUCAACUACAGCAAGGUGCGCGAGCACCGUUUUACCAGCCGUGAAUAGGUAUCUUGGACAGGACUGAUCUGAGGACAGUGCUGAGGUCUUGAGAGUCUUGGAGUGGGGCACUGGACUCGGAAACAGAGGACCACCUGACAGAGUCAGAUUCACCCAUUGUUCUGAGAAUGUGUGCGUUUUUGAGCAGAGGAACAAUGACAAAAGAUCCGGGUGAAUCUCAGAUCAAAAAUCCUUAUGUGCUUCAAAAAAGGAAAACAAAAUAUUUUUAUCCACCUUAAAAAUUCAUGAAAAGGAAAACCACAGAGCUCUGUUAGUGAAAUGCCAAAAGUCCUAUUAUGUAUGGACACUGAGAGUCUGAUGCUUGUCUAGAGAGGAGAGACUGAGAAUUGGGUCUCAAGUCCUCAUUUUUUCUGUGUCUCAGCAUCAAAAGGAGCCAAAGCAGAGAAGUAGGAGUAGGGAAAGGAGUGGAGCUUUGAAAGGUACAUUUUGCCAUUCAGCUAUGUGUGCCCCUGGAGUUAGCCCCAUCUCUCCGACUCUGAGGGCCCAGGUCCACCAGCUCAGAGGAGGCCAGUGGCAGAACCCAUCCCUUGGGAAAGAGAACUCUCAGGGAAGCUCCUGGAAGAACAGGACCCAGAGACUACCCAGAUUCCAUGUAGAGAAUGAAGCUGGAGGGGCCUGGAAAACGGUUUGGUCCAGCAGGAGCCUCUGGGCUACACUACCAAUAACACCUGGAUUGGGAUGUGGGACUCCAGGUUCAACUGUGGACACACUGUUUUGUUUUUUUAAUUAAUUUAUUCAUUUUAAUUUGAGGUUAAUUAUUUUUGCACAUCAUUUAACAUUUCUCAGAUUCAUCUAAGCAGUGAAUGCUGCCCAUUCUCCCUCACAAAGGGACUGGUGAAGGCAUCAAGGGGUAGUGGGUAUGAAAGCACUUUUUUAAUGUAAACCCUAUCACAAGCUUCACCAUCACUGUCAGGGAUCAUGUGGCCUUGGGCCCUGGUACUUGGUUUCCAAUAUCCCAAUUGUGUCCCCUUAAAGGGAUACUGCAAUCAGCCUCCUGUAAUACCCCUAUGCCCUGGCUUCCUCACCAUGACCCAGUUUGCUAAUUUCCAGCUUGCAGAGGUUGCCUGGAACCACUGGAAGAGGUCUGGGAGGUGACACCGCUUCUGCAACGGUAGAGAAUCAUCCCCUUCUCUCCUCAGUGGUUCUUCUUUCCAGAGCCUAUGGUGUGACCCCAGGGCUGCAGGUAGCCUGGGGUUGAACUGGAAGGGGGAGUCCUGGGGGUGGGUUAUGGCUAAA